rnacentral:RNase_P_RNA from 1 species
AUGUUAAAGUAAUUGCUCAAGUACAGCUUGAGAGGAAAGUCCAUGCUCACACUAGCUGAGAUGCUAGUAGUGUUCGUGCUUGACGAAACCAUAAGUCAAGGUAGUUACCUUAUAGGUAGCUAACGGCAGGGCUGUAACCUACGUCAUUACGAUAGGGUUACAAUACCUUUAAAGUGCCACAGAGACGAGCUCGAUUGGAAACAAUCGAGGUGGAACGCGGUAAACCCCGCGAGUGAGCAACCCAAACAAUGGUAGGGGCACUUCUUGCAAGGAAUUCAACUUAGCAAGAAGACAAGCAUUUAUUGCUUGUAGAUAGAUGAUUACACUCGGCGUACGAGGUUGACCACCGUUAGCAGUACUAAGAGACAGAACAUGGCUUACUAAA